GACGAACGCUGGCGGCGUGCCUAAUACAUGCAAGUCGAACGAGUGGCGGACGGGUGAGUAACACGUGGGUAACUACCCAUCAGAGGGGGAUAGCCUUUGGAAACGAAGAAUAAUACCCUAUGCGCUCUAAGAUGGACUUGCGUCUUUGUUUAUUGGGUGGGGUAACGGCCCACCAAGACAGCGGUCAGUAGCCGGCUUGAGAGAGUGUACGGCCACAUUGGAACUGAGACACGGCCCAGACUCCUACGGGAGGCAGCAGUGGGGAAUAUUGCACAAUGGGCGCAAGCCUGAUGCAGCCAUGCCGCGUGUAUGAAGAAGGCCUUCGGGUUGUAAAGUACUUUCAGCGAGGAGGCGUUACUCGCAGAAGAAGCACCGGCUAACUCCGUGCCAGCAGCCGCGGUAAUUC
rnacentral:rRNA from 1 species